CCUACGUGAGGCAGCAGUGGGGAAUAUUGCACAAUGGGGGAAACCCUGAUGCAGCGACGCCGCGUGAGUGAAGAAGUAAUCCGUUAUGUAAAGCUCUAUCAGCAGGGAAGAAAAUGACGGUACCUGAGUAAGAAGCCCCGGCUAACUACGUGCCAGCAGCCGCGGUAAUACGUAGGGGGCAAGCGUUAUCCGGAUUUACUGGGUGUAAAGGGAGCGUAGACGGCAGUGCAAGGCUGGAGUGAAAGGCGGGGGCUCAACCCGCGGACUGCUCUGGAAACUGUACGGCUGGAGUGCAGGAGAGGUAAGUGGAAUUCCUAGUGUAGCGGUGAAAUGCGUAGAUAUUAGGAGGAACACCAGUGGCGAAGGCGGCUUACUGGACUGUAACUGACGUUGAGGCUCGAAAGCGUGGGGAGCAAACAGGAUUAGAUACCCCAGUAGUC
rnacentral:rRNA from 1 species